CAUGGUUUUUUGAAUUUAAUUUAAAAUUUGACCUGCUCGAUGAAAAUUUAAAUUGCUGCAAUAUUUUAAUUGUAAAAAAGUAGCAUAAUAAUUUGUUUUUUAAUUGAAAGCUUGGAUGAAAGGUUUAACGAAACAAAUUCUGUCUCUAUUUAAUUAAUAAUGAAAUUUAUUUUAAAGUGAAAAAGCUUAAAUAUUUUUAAAAGACGAGAAGACCCUAUAGAGUUUAAUAUUAUUUAUUUUUUUUUAUUUUAAAUAAUAUUUGAUUGGGGUGAUUUUUUAAUUUAAAAAAUUUAUUAAUAUAAUAAUUAAUGGUUUUUAAUUUAUUAAUUUUUUUUAAAACUGAUAAUAUAAAUUACCUUAGGGAUAACAGCAUAAUUUUUUUUUUAAGUUCAUAUUUUUAAAAAAGAUUGUGACCUCGAUGUUGGAUUAAAAUUAAUUUUAGAUGAAAUAAUUUAAAAAUUAAGUCUGUUCGACUUUUAAAAUU
rnacentral:rRNA from 1 species